rnacentral:rRNA from 1 species
UACGUAGGGUGCAAGCGUUGUCCGGAAUUAUUGGGCGUAAAGAGCUCGUAGGCGGUUUGUCGCGUCGAAUGUGAAAUCCCGGGGCUCAACUCCGGGCCUGCAGUCGAUACGGGCAGACUGGAGUUCGGCAGGGGAGACUGGAAUUCCUGGUGUAGCGGUGAAAUGCGCAGAUAUCAGGAGGAACACCGGUGGCGAAGGCGGGUCUCUGGGCCGAUACUGACGCUGAGGAGCGAAAGCGUGGGGAGCGAACAGG